CUCGGACACUCACUUCCCCGGGACACUCGCCGCUGCCCCACUCACGGCCCUAACUUGAGUUCGGGCGUUGCUCGCCGCUCCUCGACCGCAGACAGGGCUCACUGAAGGCGGAGCAGGAAACGGAGCCACUCGGGGCCCGCCUCACAGCAGCCGUGCAAACGCGGAACCAGAGAGAGGGAGAAGUCGAACAGGGAGUAAUGUUGGCGGGAGCUGGGCUUCUUGCAAUCACUGUCUGGGCCCGGAAUGAAAAGGCCCUGGAUAAUGGAGCAACUAUCCUGCAUGCCUUUUUCGCCACCUUAUCUACCUGUGAUGCCACCGUCAGGGAUCCUUGGCCUUGCUCUACCCUUAUUAGCAUUGGA